AACAUACUCCCUCCGUCUGGAAUUAUUGUAGGAGAAAUGGAUGUAUCUAGACAUAUUAUAGUUCUAGAUACAUCCAUUUUUGUCCAUUUCUGCGACAAGUAUUUCCAAAUGGAGGGUACAAA
rnacentral:pre_miRNA from 1 species